rnacentral:rRNA from 1 species
AUUGAACGCUGGCGGCAGGCCUAACACAUGCAAGUCGAGCGAGCGGCGGACGGGUGAGUAAUGUAUGGGGACUGCCCGAUAGAGGGGGAUAACUACUGGACACGGUGGCUAAUACCGCAUACUAUCGGAUAACCCAUAUGGGAUUAGCUGGUAGGUGGGGUAAAGGCUCACCUAGGGGAUGAUCUCUAGCUGGUCUGAGAGGAUUAGCAGCAAUGAGGAGACUGAUACACGGCCCAGACUCCGAGGGAGGCAGCAGUGGGGAAUAUUGCACAAUGGGCGAAAGCCUGAUGCAGACAUGCCGCGUGUAUGAAGAAGGACUUAGGGUUGUAAAGUACUGUCAGCGGGGAGGCGUUACCCGAAGAAGAAGCACCGGCUAACUACGUGCCAGCAGCCGCGGUAAUAC